rnacentral:rRNA from 1 species
GACGAACGCUGGCGGCAUGCCUAAUACAUGCAUGUCGAGCGAACGGAUGAAGUGCUUGCACUUCUGACGUUAGCGGCGAACGGGUGAGUAACACGUAAGGAAUCUACCUAUAAGCGGGGGAUAACAUUCGGAAACGGGUGCUAAUACCGCAUAAUAUCUUCUUCCGCAUGGAAGAAGAUUGAAAGACGGCUCUGCUGUCACUUAUAGAUGACCUUGCGGUGCAUUAGUUAGUUGGUGGGGUAAUGGCCUACCAAGACGAUGAUGCAUAGCCGACCUGAGAGGGUGAUCGGCCACAUUGGGACUGAGACACGGCCCAAACUCCUACGGGAGGCAGCAGUAGGGAAUCUUCCGCAAUGGGCGAAAGCCUGACGGAACAGUGCCGCGUGAGUGAAGAAGGCCUUCGGGUCGUAAAACUCUGUUAUAAGAGAAGAACGAAUUGUAGAGUAACUGCUACAGUCUUGACGGUAUCUUAUCAGAAAGCCACGGCUAACUACGUGCCAGCCGCCGCCGUAA